ACUUUUAAAGGAUAAUAGAUAUCCGUUGGUCUUAAGAACCAAAAAUAUUGGUGCAACUCCAAAUAAAAGUAAUAACCAUG
rnacentral:tRNA from 1 species